CCCUAGUAACUGCGAGUGAAGCGGGAAAAGCUCAAAUUUAAAAGCUGGCGGUCUUAGGCUGUCCGCGUUGUAAUCUAGAGAAGCAUUAUCCGCGCUGGACCGUGUACAAGUCUCCUGGAAUGGAGCGUCAUAGAGGGUGAGAAUCCCGUCUUUGACACGGACUGCCAGGGCUUUGUGAUGUGCUCUCAAAGAGUCGAGUUGUUUGGGAAUGCAGCUCAAAAUGGGUGGUAAAUUCCAUCUAAAGCUAAAUAUUGGCGAGAGACCGAUAGCGAACAAGUACCGUGAGGGAAAGAUGAAAAGAACUUUGGAAAGAGAGUUAAACAGUACGUGAAAUUGCUGAAAGGGAAACGCUUGAAGUCAGUCGUGUUGGCCGGGGAUCAACCUUGCUUUUGCUGGGCGUACUCUCCGGUUGAUGGGCCAGCAUCAAUUUUGGCCACUGGAAAAAGGCCAGGGGAAUGUGGCAUCUUCGGAUGUGUUAUAGCCCUUGGUUGCAUACAGUGGCUGGGAUUGAGGAACUCAGCACGCCGCAAGGCCGGGUAUUUUAUCCACGUUCGUGCUUAGGAUGCUGGCAUAAUGGCUUUAAUCGACCCGUCUUGAAACACGGACCAAGGAGUCUAACAUGCCUGCGAGUGUUUGGGUGGAAAACCCGAGCGCGUAAUGAAAGUGAAAAUUGAGAUCCCUGUCGCGGGGAGCAUCGACGCCCGGACCAGAGCUUUUGUGACGGAUCUGCGGUAGAGCAUGUAUGUUGGGACCC
rnacentral:rRNA from 2 species